UACGUAGGGUGCAAGCGUUGUCCGGAAUUAUUGGGCGUAAAGAGCUCGUAGGCGGUCUGUCACGGUCGCUAUCGAAGUCCACGCGUCAACCUCGGGUCUGCAGGUACGAUACGGCAACGUAGAGUAUUGCGAGGGGAGACUGGAAAUUCCUGGUGUAGCGGUGAAAGUGGACGCCAGGAGUAUCAAGGGAGGGAACACCGGUGGGCGAAAGGCGGGUCUCUGGGCGAAUAAACUGACGCUGGGAGGAAGCGGAAAGCGUCGGGGAGCGAAACAGG
rnacentral:rRNA from 1 species